UACGAAGGGGGCUAGCGUUGCUCGGAAUUACUGGGCGUAAAGGGCGCGUAGGCGGCCCUGUAAGUCAGGCGUAAAAGCCCCGGGCUCAACCCGGGAACUGCGCUUGAAACUGCAAGGCUCGAGUUCGGGAGAGGGCAGUGGAAUUCCCAGUGUAGAGGUGAAAUUCGUAGAUAUUGGGAAGAACACCAGUGGCGAAGGCGGCUGCCUGGACCGAUACUGACGCUAAGGCGCGAAAGCGUGGGGAGCAAACAGG
rnacentral:rRNA from 1 species